GUCUCCAGACCCACCACUCUGAAUGUAUCGCACACUAAGAAUUUAGAUGCUCGGCGUUGAGGCCGUAGCGUUGUUCUUUAAUAAUUUGUGAUGUAGCGAGCGUUUGAGAACAAACUUCUCGACGUGUCGUUGUGGCUAAGGCGGGGACCUCGAGUCCCUAGAAAUUGAGUCGUUAUAGUUCGCGUCCAGGCUUUGUACCCCUGGACUGAAUAUGACCUUGAGGCAACUUGAGGUUAUAUGGUCAAGCGAAUAAGCGCACACGGUGGAUGCCUUGGCGGUCAGAGGCGAUGAAGGACGUGGCAGCCUGCGAAAAGUGUCGGGGAGCUGGCAACAAGCUUUGAUCCGGCAAUGUCCGAAUGGGGAAACCCACUGCUUCGGCAGUAUCCUGCAGUGAAUACAUAGCUGCUGGAAGCGAACCCGGUGAACUGAAAUAUCUAAGUAACCGGAGGAAAAGAAAUCAACCGAGAUUCCCUAAGUAGUGACGAGCGAACGGGGACUAGCCCUUAAGCUGGUAUGGUUUUAGAAAAACAACCUGGAAAGGUUGGCCAUAGAAGGUGAUAGCCCUGUAUUUGAAAGGGCCAUACCAGUGAAGACGAGUAGGGCGGGGCACGUGAAACCCUGUCUGAACAUGGGGGGACCAUCCUCCAAGGCUAAAUACUCCUGACCGACCGAUAGUGAACCAGUACC
rnacentral:sRNA from 1 species